rnacentral:ribozyme from 1 species
AGAGAAGAGAAGAGAAAAAGAAAAAGAAGUCAAGAUUUAUCCGUCCAAAAAUUCUUUCCUCUCCUCUUCUUGUUCUUCUUGUCCUUGUUCUUGUUCUUCUUUGAU